ACUUGGAUAGCUUAUAAUUAGAGCAUAACAUUGAAGAUGUUAUUGAGGUUUACUUACCUUCAGGUG
rnacentral:tRNA from 1 species